rnacentral:rRNA from 1 species
UGCAGAAGAAGCGCCGGCUAACUACGUGCCAGCAGCCGCGGUAAUACGUAGGGCGCAAGCGUUGUCCGGAAUUAUUGGGCGUAAAGAGCUCGUAGGCGGUCUGUCGCGUCUGGUGUGAAAUCCCAUGGCUCAACUGUGGGCUUGCAUCGGGUACGGGCAGACUAGAGUACUGUAGGGGAGACUGGAAUUCCUGGUGUAGCGGUGGAAUGCGCAGAUAUCAGGAGGAACACCGAUGGCGAAGGCAGGUCUCUGGGCAGUUACUGACGCUGAGGAGCGAAAGCAUGGGGAGCGAACAGGAUUAGAUACCCUGGUAGUCCAUGCCGUAAACGUUGGGCACUAGGUGUGGGGCCAGUUCCACUGGUUCUGUGCCGUAGCUAACGCAUUAAGUGCCCCGCCUGGGGAGUACGGCCGCAAGGCUAAAACUCAAAGGAAUUGACGGGGGCCCGCACAAGCGGCGGAGCAUGCGGAUUAAUUCGAUGCAACGCGAAGAACCUUACCAAGGCUUGACAUGUACGAGAACGCCCCAGAGAUGGGGUUCUCUU